rnacentral:rRNA from 1 species
GAUGAACGCUGGCGGCGUGCCUAAUACAUGCAAGUCGAGCGGACGGACGCUACUCUUGCUUCUCUCUUGUUAGCGGCGGACGUGUGAGUAACACGUGGAUCACCUCCCUAUCAGUCUGGUAUCACUUCGGGACACCGUCUCUAAUCCCGUAUAAUCUUUUGCUCCGCAUUGUUCAAUAGAGAAAUACGGUCUUGCUGUCACUUCUCGCUGCAUCCGCGCUGCAUUAGCUAGUUGGUACGGUAACGGCUUACCAAGGCUACGAUGCAUAGCCGACCUGAGAGGGGGAUAGGCCACACGGGAAGUGAGACAGGGUCAAGAGUCCUACGGGAGGCAGCAGUAGGGAAUGUGCGGCAAUGGGCGGAAGCAUGACGGAGCAACGCCGCGUGAGUGAUGAAGGUCUUCGGAGCGUAAAAAUCGGUUAUGAGGGAAGAACAGAUGUGGAAGGAAAUGUGCACAGAGUGACGGUAAAUAAUAAGAAAGCAACGGCUAACUACGUG